AAAAUUUUAUUACCUUUUUUUUUUCAAACAACAUAUUGCAAUGGAGUUUUCUACAUGUUCUUGGUCCAUCACAUGCUUAAUCUUAAUGAUUUUGCAGCCGUUGUUAUGGAAUAGAAGCUUGUACGCUAAUGGAUGCUAUACGUUCAUCUUUAGCUUUGGCGACUCCCUGGCCGACACGGGUAAUAUUAAACAACUCGCUGCCAUAUCCCACGCGGACAUUCAGUCUCUUCAGUUUCCUUACGGCGAAACCUUCUUUCAUGAACCCACCGGUCGUGCCUCCAAUGGACGCCUCAUCAUCGAUUUCCUGGGUAACUCAUCAUCGAUUUGAAACAAUUCAUAUAUAGUAAUAGUUGUAGAUAUGUGACAUCUAGUAAAUAACAUCUAAUAAAGUAUUACUAUAAUUGCGUUAAACGUUGCAUUUAAUUUUCAAGGAAUAAAGUUAUUCAUGUUCUAUGUGAAUUAAUGACUUUAUAUUUUUGUUUUUGUUCAUGAUGCUGAGAGCCUUGGCUUGCCACUAAUACCACCGUUUCUGAACGAUAAGGAGAGUGACAAUGUGGUGGCGUUGGGACCAGGAGUUAAUUACGCAGUCGUGGCAGCAACAGCAUUGGAUACAUCAUUUCAUGAAGCAAGAGGGACUGUUGAUCCUGUAGCAAACAUAUCUUUAGGAGUUGAAUUGGCAUGGUUUAAACGAUCAUUGGCUUCUAUUUGCAGCAGCGCCUCAGAUUGUAGAAACUUAAUUGGACGUUCUUUGAUCCUAAUGGGAGAGAUAGGUGGAACCGAUUACAACGGUCCAAUAUUUGACUAUAAGCCAAUCGAGGAGGUCGAAUCAUACGUUCCUCUUGUAAUUGAUACCAUCAUCUCAGCAGUAAAUGUACAAUGAACUUGUCGAAUACCACAAUGAUUUGCUGAUAAAGAAACUAAACCACCUUCGAGAGCUUCAUCCGAAUGUCAUCAUCAUCUAUGCUGACUACUACAAUGCUGCCAUGCAGAUUAUCUAUUAUCCUAUUAAAUUUGGAUUCACAAAUCCGGUUUUGAAGUCGUGUUGUGGAGGUGGAGGCCCAUACAACUACAACAUCAAUCUGUCAGCGCAAUGUGGACAUGUACUUGCGACUGUGUGUGAUGACCCGGAUGCGUAUGCUUACUGGGAUGGAAUACACUUUACAGAAGAUGCAUAUAGAAUAAUAUUCAAGAGUUUAUUUAAUGGCCAAUAUACUACACCCCGCUUUAAUUCCUUGUGUCCUACACCUACACCUACAUCAACAUCACAAGCUGAAGUUGCUUUAUCGGGAUUACAAAUACAACGCUGACCUAUCAGAGCAUGGAAAGACAUGUACUUGCCACUUAAAAGGCACUACAAAUAUUUCAUAAAUUGUUAUUGUUUAUGUAAGCUACAUACAUAAUUAAAAUAAAAUAAAUGGCAUACACUUGUUUAAUGAAAAAAGUUGAAUAAAAUAGAAUGCCUGUUAAGUAGUGUAACCAUUCAU